GAUGAACGCUGGCGGCGUGCCUAAUACAUGCCAGUCGAGCGAACAGACGAGGAGCUUGCUCCUCUGACGUUAGCGGCGGACGGGUGAGUAACACGUGGAUAACCUACCUAUAAGACUGGGAUAACUUCGGGAAACCGGAGCUAAUACCGGAUAAUAUAUUGAACCGCAUGGUUCAAUAGUGAAAGACGGUUUUGCUGUCACUUAUAGAUGGAUCUGCGCCGCAUUAGCUAGUUGGUAAGGUAACGGCUUACCAAGGCAACGAUGCGUAGCCGACCUGAGAGGGUGAUCGGCCACACUGGAACUGAGACACGGUCCAGACUCCUACGGGAGGCAGCAGUAGGGAAUCUUCCGCAAUGGGCGAAGGCCUGACGGAGCAACGCCGCGUGAGUGAUGAAGGUCUUCGGAUCGUAAAACUCUGUUAUUAGGGAAGAACAAAUGUGUAAGUAACUAUGCACGUCUUGACGGUACCUAAUCAGAAAGCCACGGCUAACUACGUG
rnacentral:rRNA from 1 species